rnacentral:autocatalytically_spliced_intron from 2 species
AUGAACCGGAUCUGAGGGAAACUAUCCAAAAGUUUCUCCUCGGGGAAAGGUACAUCGUAGAGACAGCUGCAACGAUGAAC